rnacentral:lncRNA from 1 species
CGCCGGCCGGAGCUUCGCCGACGCCAGUGAAGUACAGAGGGUGGCAGUGAUUGUGAGCAGGGAGAGGGAGAGGAGAUUAGGGUUAAUAUAAUAUAUGUAUAUAUUAUUAUGGGGCAAUUGCUUAUAUACCCCUAAAAAGUUUCCGACUUUCUGAUUUACCCCUCUUAGAAGGCUAAUAUUGAAAAUACCCUUUUUACAUUCCAACCUAUGUCAAAUAUACCCUUCCUCCGUUUGGUUCGGGGCUAAGGAAAAAGUAGCUAUUCCAGGGAUAGAGUUAAGUUCAGGGUUAAAGUGGGGUUAAAUUUUUUUUGUGUUUGGUUGGGGGUUGGAGUUAGUCUAGAAUAAUAAAAAAUAGUGUUUGGUUGGAGUAGGUGGGAUAAGAAGAUAAUAAUUGAUAAAGAGGAUAAUGAUUGGUUGGAGUAGGUGUGAUAAGAAAGAUAGUAGGUUAUUAUGAAUAGAAAAAAGUGUUUGGUUGGAGUUUGGUGGGGUUAGGUGGGGUUAGCUAACCCGGGAUAAUUUAUUUGAGGUGGGGUUAAGUGGGGUUAGCUAACCCCACCUAUUUUUUGGGGUUUUUGGGGAUAAAAUGGGGGUUAAGGGGUUAUUCCACCUCUUAACCCCCAACCAAACAAGGGCUUAGAGUUAAAUUUUGUUAAUAAACUCUGUUAUCUAUAUAAAAUUACUAUUUUGCUCUUUCAAAUAUACCCUUCCACCAUCACCGACUUUUCUUAUUUGCCCUUAAGUCAGGGGCAUAAAAAGUAUUUUAACUUUUGAUCUUUUCAAAUAUUCCCCUCUACUGUCACCAAUAUUUCUUAUUUGCCCUUAAGUUAAGGGCAAAAUUAGCAUUUUAAUUUUCUUUAACUGUGGUAGAUAUUUAGCUCACGUUUAACUCAAGUUAACUUAACAGGUGAUAACUGUAGGGGUAUUUUGGAAUAACAGAGGAACACAUGAGGGGUAUAUUGGAAAGAGAAAAAAAAGUAGGGGUAAUUGAGAUAUUUUCAAAGU